AAAAACAUUUCAUAGAUAAGGACACUUCUCUUAGCGAAUACCAGUCAUUUAUUUAUAGAGAAGCCAGUCUCAGCGUUCUGGGGAGAUCAGCUCCAGCGACUGGCUUUAUUUCCCAGGAGUAUCUCCAUCGUGCUGGGGAGGCAUGAAGAGCAGUUUCACUGCUUAGUUCCUCUUUCUUCUGAGGAGGAUUGAAAUCUCUCAUGCUAAUUAUGGAUUAUUUUCUCUCAGCUCUGCAGGUUUUGCUUCAUGUAUUUGAGAAUGUUAUAAGGUGCAUGCACUUUUAGGAUUUUUACAUCAUAUUUGUAAAUUUGACCCCCUUUAUCUCCAGUGACAUUCUUUGUUGUGAAGUCACCUUGGUCUGACUACUCUCCUUUCUUCUGAUUUGGUGUUUGCGUGGUGUGUUUGCCAAGUUUAGCUUUUUUCACUUUCAACCUUUGUGUAUGUGUAAAGUGCAUUUCUUUCAGGUAUCAUAUAAUUAGGUCUUGCUUCUUUAUUCACCCUGGCAACCUCUGUUUUUUAUUUGGAAUCUUUAGACUACUUGGGUUUAAAUCUAUCAUCUCUGGCGUUUUCAGUUACAUCUUUCACUUGUCACUGUCCACUCUCAAAUGGUAUUACACUGCCUGAGCUGCGGGGCAGUGCUCUGACUGUAGCUUCCUGCUUCUGACAUGUUCUUGGUUGGCAGUGUUGCUGUGUCAUGUCCAAGUGAAACAUGGUAUAAACCCCACAAUAUGAUGUUUUUGUUUUUGCUUUAAAUAGGCAAUUACAUUUUUUCCCCUCAAA
rnacentral:lncRNA from 10 species